GUUUGUUGGCUCUGCUGAGAAGAAGGAGUCAGUGCUGUGAGGAGCUGCCCAUGAGAAACCUGGGAGAAGGAAUAUUAAUAUUUUAGGAGUAAUACUGCAAAAACAAACAAAAAUGUCCCAUGGAGAGUCAGCAGCAGAAAUCCUGGUGUUGUCUGAUAAAGAUGAAGCUGUUCUCCUAAGGAGUUCCACUAAGGUUAAGGUGAAAAACAACGCAAACAUCAAUUUAAGCAGUAUACAAAUACAAAAUCAAACAGGAAAACACUCUAACUCUGAGGAUUACUCACAUGGGCUCCAGCGCUCAAAUGGGAUCCACAAAGUGCAGAGGACAUUCAGUGGAUUUCAGUAAACCUGUUGUCUAAUCAUGGGGGAAUGAUGGUAGCUGUGGACUGCACAUCAGCACCCAUUUUUCAGCUAUCCUAACUUUCUAAGAUGAAAUCAAGUAUGCAGCAAGUUAAAUACAGUAUCCUACAGGCCUCAGUGUCUGUAAAAACCCUGUCUGCAGAUCUCUCUUUCAAGUGCCACUGUCAGUGUCACUGCUUUUAUUCCCAGCAAAUAUAUAUUUUAUUCCAAGCCUUCUGUACUUUUCACGACUGCUAAUUCUGUCUCUUUUAUAAUGUUGUUAUGUUAUCUAUUUCCGUGGAUGGCUUUUUUAAGGAGGCUGGAAAUAAAGUUGCUUUUCCCAUCAUGAGAAGAAUUUUUAAAACCCAAGAAACCAAAACACCCACAAAUAAAAGGAAGAUUUGGCUUCUGAGGUGCUGAGCAUAGCCACUGACUAAUAUUUAAAUGUCAAGAUUAGAAGUUUUGUUAGCAGCUCUUUAUCUUGUCCUCAAGAAAGUAUAGGCUGCAAGGGUGAGAACUGAGUGCAAGGCAGCAGAGCUGCUUGGGGCAAACACGGAGUCAAGGGCUUUAAACCUGCCUCUCGGAUCUGUCUAGUGCCUUAUGCUCACCAGUUACUGAAUAUAUUUCAUAAACAGUUAUGGCAGAAGGAUCUGGAGCGUACUUCUCUCUCACACAGCUGCUCUACCCUUGUAGCUACAGAAUCAUGCUCUUUUUUUCUUUCUCGUCUUGACUAAGGAAAGGCUGGAGGGAGCUCUUUCCCAGCCAGAAUAAUGUACAGCCCAUUUGUGAAGACACUUUCCAGGGAAAUUAGAUGUUGCAGAUAAAGCUUCAGUUCUCCCACCUCAAAGAAGCAGUGAAUCCAUUAGACAAGUGUAUGUAGGGGACCUGAAAACAUCAGAUGGAUUUUUACCAGUGCUGCCUGAAGGAAAAGAGUGAUCCCAAGCACAUUUUUAAAUGAAGGAGUUUCUUCAUCUCAGGAAAGUUGCUUUUAUAUCUCUGUAGUGAUCUAGAGAGAGAUAGCACUUAAGAUAUGUAUGGGUCUCCUUUGCUAAUUGCUGGCUACUUUUGGGCAACUUCAGCACAGUUCUCUGAGGUUAAUUGGAUCCUCCAUCAGCCUGGAUUGGGUAUCUGCUUCUGUCAUAAUACAGUGUACAGUGUAAGGAGCUGUGCAUCCCAUACCUGAUUUCUCUCUCAGGUCACAUAGCCUGAUGCUUUGCAUAACCUGCAGAGUAGUAGGAGACAGCAGCUUGAAUUGCAGUAGCCAGAGAAAGGAGCUGAACCUGAACUGCUAUGUCUGAAAAUAUCCUGAGUAUAUCCUUGACUGAGAGUAUAUCCACUGAAUAAAGAUUCUGAAUUUUUUUCAAAUGCUAUUUUGGCUGAGAUGUAUAUCCAUCCAUAGCAAACUUAAGUCUUAUUGAUGAUUGGGAUGCUCUUAGUUAUUCUUUAUGGAUUACACCAAGACAGUCUGUUCUUGUAUAAUGCCUGCAGACUACAAAUUGGAUAUAGGCUCAGCUACAUCCAGCUACUGAAAAAAAAGGGGAACCAGCACUUUGAGUUGCAUUUUAAAUCUUGGUUAACACUGUACUUCAGAUGUGCUUGAUCAUGAUCCUGUCAUAAAAAUAUCUAAUGAAUUCAGUUUUUCAUGGAAGGUAGGCAGGAGAUUAUGAACUUGAUUUUUAUGUUUCAUUUUAGCUAAAUGCUGGUUUCUUUGCAUUCCCAAACCUGGAAAAUAUCUGUGGAUGUAUUAAAGGGAUAUUUUAGGCACAUAGGAACUUUCGAAUAGUAAAAUUCGAUUGCUUGAGUAAACUUUCAUCUGAGUUCAGGCCUUCUGGAUUACUUUCUUGACUAGAGGCAAUUCUGUUUUUUACUGAGCCUUAUUUAACUGCUUGAUAUCCUUCUUCACUUCUUUUAGUUUUUUUUCGAUUUGGAGUGACAUGAAUUAACCUUAAAGUAUGCCUACAAAUGAGUGAAUUAAUACCUAGACUACGCUAAUGGUGUUGCAUUUACUGCUGAACUAGGAAGGAGAAUUAGGUACCUUAGUGUCUGCCUGUCUGUGAUCUGGCAGCAGGCUUAAUUGGACAGCAGCAAGCUCCUUGAAUUAACAAGUCCUGCUGGCAGCACACACCUGAUUCCCAGCAUGAG